rnacentral:rRNA from 1 species
UACAGAGGGGGCAAGCGUUGUUCGGAAUUACUGGGCGUAAAGGGCGCGUAGGCGGCCUUCUAAGUCGAACGUGAAAUCCCCGGGCUCAACCCGGAAACUGCCGUUGAUACUAUCUGUCUUGAAUAUCGUGGAGGUAAGCGGAAUAUGUCAUGUAGCGGUGAAAUGCUUAGAUAUGACAUAGAACACCCAUUGCGAAGGCAGCUUACUACACGAUCAUUGACGCUGAGGCACGAAAGCGUGGGGAGCAAACAGG